rnacentral:tRNA from 1 species
GGAGCUGUGCCUGAGCGGCCGAUAGGGGCACCCUGCUAAGGUGUUAACUGCGCAAGCGGUUCGAGAGUUCGAAUCUCUCCGGCUCCGCGA